rnacentral:misc_RNA from 1 species
UGAAUUCUCCUUCUCUGACCUCAAAGCAGCCACUAACAACUUCAGCUCUGAUAACAUCGUCUCAGAGAGCGGUGAAAAGGCCCCCAAUCUUGUAUACAAGGGCCGCCUUCAGAACCGCCGCUGGAUCGCUGUUAAAAAGUUUACCAAGAUGGCUUGGCCCGAUCCUAAGCAGUUUGCGGAGGAGGCAUGGGGUGUGGGGAAGCUGAGGCAUAAAAUGCUGGCCAAUUUGAUAGGGUACUGCUGUGAUGGAGAUGAGAGGCUGCUUGUUGCUGAGUACAUGCCCAAUGAUACUUUAGCUAAGCAUUUAUUUCACUGGGAAAAUCAAACUAUUGAAUGGGCAAUGCGUUUAAGAGUAGCCUUCUGCAUUGCUGAAGCCUUAGAUUAUUGCAGUUCUCAGGACCGACCAUUAUACCAUGAUCUGAAUGCAUAUAGGGUUCUCUUUGAUGAGGACGGAGAUCCACUCCUUUCGUGUUUUGGCUUGAUGAAAAAUAGUAGGGAUGGGAAAAGUUAUAGCACAAAUCUUGCCUACACUCCUCCUGAGUACCUAAGAAAUGGAAGGGUCACCCCUGAAAGUGUUAUUUACAGUUUUGGUACCAUUCUUCUGGAUUUGAUAAGUGGAAAGCAUAUCCCUCCAAGUCAUGCUCUUGAUAUGAUAAGAGGAAAAAACAUAAAUCUGUUAAUGGAUUCACAUUUGGAGGGAAAUUACUCCAAAGAAGAAGCAACUGUGGUUGUUGAUCUUGCCUCUCGAUGUUUGCAAUAUGAACCCAGAGAACGGCCUAGUAUGAAGGAUCUUGUUGGAACACUGGCUUCCCUGCAAAUGAAACUCGAUGUUCCAUCCUAUGUAAUGCUUGGAAUUUCAAAAGAUGAGGAAACCCCACCUACUCCUCAGCGCCCUCUUUCCCCAAUGGGUGAGGCCUGUUCACGGAUGGACCUCACAGCUAUUCAUCAGAUCUUGGUUAUGACACACUACAAAGAUGAUGAAGGAACGAAUGAGUUAUCUUUCCAAGAGUGGACACAGCA